rnacentral:rRNA from 1 species
GGAUUGGGAUAUAUCGGUCGUGCCUUCAGGAGCAUGAAUUGGUGUAUGGUCAAUUCUUACCUUCUGGUGAAUUGGAAUGCUUUCGGGUGUUUUGAUGAACUAGGACAUUUACUUUGAAAAAAUUAGAGUGUUUAAAGCGGGCAUUUUUGCUUGAAUACAUUAGCAUGGAAUAAUAAAAUA